rnacentral:rRNA from 1 species
CCGGCGACCGGCGCACGGGUGAGUAACACGUAUGUCAACCUGCCCUCCGCAGGGGGAUAACCCGGAGAAAUCCGGACUAAUACCGCGUGGUACAUCUGUGGGGCAUCCCACGGGUGUUAAAAGGAAGCGAUUCCGGCGGAGGAUGGGCAUGCGGCGCAUUAGCUAGUUGGCGGGGUAACGGCCCACCAAGGCGACGAUGCGUAGGGGUUCUGAGAGGAAGGUCCCCCACACUGGUACUGAGACACGGACCAGACUCCUACGGAAGGCAGCAG